CUUGCUCGACCCCGAACUAUCCCUGCACAGCACCUUCAUCCAUGUUCUCUCGCUGCUAGCCAACCAUCUAUUUCAAUUUUCAGUCUCAACCAUUAACAGAUCCAUCCAUGUCGAAACAGCAUCCCCCUGCCCGUCCUCCCUCCUCAUCCAACGAUUCCGCCAUCGAGGGCAGAGGAGGUGUGCCCUGUUUAGGAAUUUGGGGCGGAAAAUUUGACCAAUGGCCGCCCGCAUUCAAACCCUUCUUGGUAACACAGGAACUUGGUGGGCUGUGCAGAGAAUAGAUCAUAGAUGGAUAUGAUUCUUCUUCUUCUUCUUCGUCGUCGUCAUCAAGGGAGGCGAGGCAGCGGCUUAGCAGAGAGGCUGAGGAUUGGCAUGGUGGGUGUCUGGAUCCCAAGUGCAUUGGUUAGUUCCUGAGGUUGAUUUGGUGGGUUUGCGAGGAAUAGAGCUCCUAAUUAAUUGUGAAGAAGACGAGAUGAUGCCUCUACCAGGGGACGGAUAAGGAACCUCUGGACACAACACCACCGUUGUGGCUGUUGCUUGUGGGGCUGAUGGUGAUGUUAAACCUCCAGACCAACAACGCCAGUGCCCACAAAUCGAAGACCACCACACAUGUCUCGGUAAAUUGAUGAUACAUUACCUGAAGAUUCAAAAUGUUAAAGUAACCCACUAUUUUGCCCAGAAACUUACUGUGUUACAAUCUUGUGCAGUAGAACCACAUUUACUAUCAUGCAUAUGUUAAUGCAAUCAGGACUAUUUAAGCAAGCCAGUACUUAUUUA